UAUUGAGAUGAGGGAAAGCAUGGCAAUACAACAAACUGACCAAGAACAUGUAAAUUCUAGUGUUCCUCCUGUCCAAGUUGCAUCUUUUGCUUCUAUAGUGAAUGGGAAAACAUCUACAUCGAAUAUGGAUAAAAAUUCAAAGACAGAAGAAUGAAGGAAUGCAAACACUAUAGCUCAAGUGUUUUAACAAAUUGCUAGAAACAACAAGCAAGCUCCCAGCUUCAAAGCUAAGAAGUUCAAUAAUCUCCAUUGAGAAAUCUCAGCUUAUAAAAGUCAUAUCAGUUAUGGAUUUCCAGUGAAUGCCAACUGAGGUUACCAAAGAAAACCAUGUGAUACAUUUUGAAAGGUGGAAUGAAACAAAAUGUUGCAUAUAAGUCGGGAAAAAUAGCUUUAUUCAAUAUUUCUCCAGCAAACUAAUGCCACACAUGAACUGAAAUGUUUUCACUUUGCUCCACGUAGUAUACAUUUGAUUUUUGUUCAAAGCAGUUUUCAGAAAUAGCUGUUUUAGUAACUUGUGAAACUUGGCCUAAUGGCAAAAAUUCAGCAGAGGCUAAAAUACAUGAAAAUAUGCCUGACAAUUGUUUAUGUUUGUAAAAUGGCAUUCAUUUUCCAGUAUUUCUAAAGUUUAAAUCAAGAUCCCAGUCUUAAUUUCUUUUCAGAUUGCUAAAGCAUUGAAUAACUGGAACCUGCACUGAUGUCAGUGGAAUAGCCAAAAAACAGUUGUAGGUUAAUCAAAUGGGCUACAUUACACUUGGUCAGAAUAUGCAUGUUUCAUACAAAGUUAUUUCAUUAGAGGUCUCUGUAUUUUGUCUUUGGGGAACAGACAAAUGGCCUCUUAUAUACUGCUAUUAAACCUAACAUUUCAGUGAGCCUUAGCGUUCAUAAUAUGGCACAUUGGUUGUUUAUUUUCCUCUUGGAACAUUUGACCUCUAAUGUCUAAAAUAUCUGUGCCCUUAGUUGUCAUUAGGUCAGAAAUAAUACCAGAAAUUAAAUGUGAAUAUAUACAACUACACACACACACGUGCAUCUCUCUCUCUCUCUCUGUAUAUAUAUAUAUAUAUAUAUAUAUAUAUAUAUAUAUAUAUAUAUAUAUAUAUAUAUAUAUAUAUAAAACCCAUAUGGCCAGCACCAUAAGAUCAACAAUUCAGUCCAUCAAAAAAAAAUGUAAACACAAACAACUCCUGCAUACAACAGAAACAAAGCUUUUGCAGGGUACCACCACAACCCCUGUUAUUUAUAUACACCAACUCCAAGAUUGCAGUACAGUGGGAAAAUGGACAAUUUCCUGAUGCCAACUGUAUUGGGAUCUCAGCCAAAAUCGUUCAGUGGAAUGAAUUGUCAAUCACAUGGUCUUGACCAUAAGGAAUCAAUGAUCUGUUCAGUCAAUCUUUUGACAAAGACCCAUUUUUAUCUAUAUAAAUAUCUCUA